rnacentral:tRNA from 1 species
GGCGAGGUGGCUGAGUAACAGGCGAUAAACUGUAAAUUUAUUCACGGGUAAUUUUACCUUCUCGCCA